rnacentral:rRNA from 1 species
CGCUAUCACUCCUACGGGAGGCAGCAGUGGGGAAUAUUGCACAAUGGGGGAAACCCUGAUGCAGCCAUGCCGCGUGUGUGAAGAAGGCCUUCGGGUUGUAAAGCACUUUCAGUAGGGAGGAAGAUAGUGUAGUUAACACCUGCAUUAUUUGACGUUACCUACAGAAGAAGCACCGGCUAACUCCGUGCCAGCAGCCGCGGUAAUACGGAGGGUGCGAGCGUUAAUCGGAAUUACUGGGCGUAAAGCGCAUGCAGGCGGCCUGUUAAGUCAGAUGUGAAAGCCCGGGGCUUAACCUCGGAAUUGCAUUUGAAACUGGCAGGCUAGAGUCUUGUAGAGGGGGUAGAAUUUCAGGUGUAGCGGUGAAAUGCGUAGAGAUCUGAAGGAAUACCAGUGGCGAAGGCGGCCCCCUGGACAAAGACUGACGCUCAGAUGCGAAAGCGUGGGGAGCAAACAGGAUUAGAUACCCUGGUAG